rnacentral:rRNA from 1 species
GAUGAACGCUGGCGGCGUGCCUAAUACAUGCAAGUCGAGCGAACGGACGAGAAGCUUGCUUCUCUGAUGUUAGCGGCGGACGGGUGAGUAACACGUGGAUAACCUACCUAUAAGACUGGGAUAACUUCGGGAAACCGUAGCUAAUACCGGAUAAUAUUUUGAACCGCAUGGUUCAAAAGUGAAAGACGGUCUUGCUGUCACUUAUAGAUGGAUCCGCGCUGCAUUAGCUAGUUGGUAAGGUAACGGCUUACCAAGGCAACGAUGCAUAGCCGACCUGAGAGGGUGAUCGGCCACACUGGAACUGAGACACGGUCCAGACUCCUACGGGAGGCAGCAGUAGGGAAUCUUCCGCAAUGGGCGAAAGCCAGACGGAGCAACGCCGCGUGAGUGAUGAAGGUCUUCGGAUCGUAAAACUCUGUUAUUAGGGAAGAACAUAUGUGUAAGUAACUGUGCACAUCUUGACGGUACCUAAUCAGAAAGCCACGGCUAACUACGUG